rnacentral:rRNA from 1 species
GUACACUCCUACGGGAGGCAGCAGUGGGGAAUAUUGCACAAUGGGCGCAAGCCUGAUGCAGCCAUGCCGCGUGUAUGAAGAAGGCCUUCGGGUUGUAAAGUACUUUCAGCGGGGAGGAAGGCGAUAAGGAUAAUAACCUUGUCGAUUGACGUUACCCGCAGAAGAAGCACCGGCUAACUCCGUGCCAGCAGCCGCGGUAAUACGGAGGGUGCAAGCGUUAAUCGGAAUUACUGGGCGUAAAGCGCACGCAGGCGGUCUGUCAAGUCGGAUGUGAAAUCCCCGGGCUCAACCUGGGAACUGCAUUCGAAACUGGCAGGCUAGAGUCUUGUAGAGGGGGGUAGAAUUCCAGGUGUAGCGGUGAAAUGCGUAGAGAUCUGGAGGAAUACCGGUGGCGAAGGCGGCCCCCUGGACAAAGACUGACGCUCAGGUGCGAAAGCGUGGGGAGCAAACAGGAUUAGAAACCCUAGUAGUCCC